rnacentral:rRNA from 1 species
UACGAAGGGAGCUAGCGUUGUUCGGAAUCACUGGGCGUAAAGCGCACGUAGGCGGAUGUGUCAGUCAGGGGUGAAAUCCCGGAGCUCAACUUCGGAACUGCCUUUGAUACAGCACGUCUUGAGUCCGGAAGAGGUGGGUGGAAUUCCUAGUGUAGAGGUGAAAUUCGUAGAUAUUAGGAAGAACACCGGUGGCGAAGGCGGCCCACUGGUCCGGUACUGACGCUGAGGUGCGAAAGCAUGGGUAGCGAACAGG